AAUGAACGCUGGCGGCAGGCCUAACACAUGCAAGUCGAACGAGUGGCAGCCGGGUGAGUAAUGUCUGGGACACUGCCCGAUGGAGGGGGAUAACUACUGGAAACGGUAGCUAAUACCGCAUACCAUCGGAUGUUCCCCGAUGGGAUUAGCUAGUAGGUGGGGUAACGGAUCACCUAGGCGACGCUCCCUAGCUGGUCUGAGAGGAUGACCAGCCACAAUGGCACUGCGACCUGGUCCAGACGCCUACGGGAGGCAGCAGUGGGGAAGAUUGCACAAUGGGCGCAAGCCUGACGCAGCAAGGCCGCGUGUAUGAAGAAGGCCUUCGGGUUGGAAAGUACUUUCAGCGAGGAGGCGUUAAUCGCAGAAGAAGCACCGGCUAACUCCGUGCCAGCAGCCGCGGUAAUAC
rnacentral:rRNA from 1 species